rnacentral:tmRNA from 1 species
GGGGCUGACUUGGAUUUCGACAGAUUUCUUGUCGCACAGAUAGCAUGCCAAGCGCUGCUUGUAAAACAGCAACAAAAAUAACUGUAAACAACGCAGAUUACGCUCCAGCUUACGCUAAAGCUGCGUGAGUUAAUCUCCUUUUGGAGCUGGACUGAUUAGAAUUUCUAGCGUUUUAAUCACUCCAUAACCUUAAGCUAGACGCUUUUAAAAGGUGGUUCGCCUUUUAAACUAAGAAACAAGAACUCUUGAAACUAUCUCAAGGUUUUAGAAAGUUGGACCAGAGCUAGUUUUAAGGCUAAAAACUAACCAAUUUUCUAAGCAUUGUAGAAGUUUGUGUUUAGGGCAAGAUUUUUGGACUGGGGUUCGAUUCCCCACAGCUCCACCA